GACGGAGGGUGCAAGCGUUGUUCGGAUUGACUGGGCGUAAAGGGCGUGUAGGCGGUUGGGCAAGUCUGGUGUGAAAGCCCGGGGCUUAACCCCGGAAGUGCGCUGGAAACUAGCCAGCUAGAGCGCGAGAGAGGAGGGUGGAAUUCCUGGUGUAGCGGUGAAAUGCGUAGAUAUCAGGAGGAACACCGGCGGCGAAGGCGGCCCUCUGGCUCGUUGCUGACGCUGAAACGCGAAAGCUAGGGGAGCAAACGGG
rnacentral:rRNA from 1 species